rnacentral:misc_RNA from 1 species
UUUCCGUAGGUGAACCUGCGGAAGGAUCAUUACUGAGUGAGGGCCUCCGGUCCGACCUCCAACCCUUUGUGAACCAACACUGUUGCUUCGGGGGCGACCCUGCCGUUCGCGGCGUGGGGCCCCCGGAGCCCAUCAAACCCUGCGUAACUAAGUCGUCGGAGUUUAAACAAAUUAAACAAAACUUUCAACAACGGAUCUCUUGGUUCGGGCAUCGAUGAAGAACGCAGC